AUGGUUCUGGCAGAGUGGUAUGGCUCUGUUGUUGCUAUACAGUGGGUUCUGGGUUCGAAUCCCAGGUGCUCCU
rnacentral:tRNA from 1 species